CAGCCGCCGCGGGAAUACGAAGGGGGCUAGCGUUGUUCGGAAUUACUGGGCGUAAAGCGCACGUAGGCGGACAUUUAAGUCAGGGGUGAAAUCCCGGGGCUCAACCCCGGAACUGCCUUUGAUACUGGGUGUCUAGAGUAUGGAAGAGGUGAGUGGAAUUCCGAGUGUAGAGGUGAAAUUCGUAGAUAUUCGGAGGAACACCAGUGGCGAAGGCGGCUCACUGGUCCAUUACUGACGCUGAGGUGCGAAAGCGUGGGGAGCAAACAGGAUUAGAUACCCGCGUAGUCCCUGUCCUCUUAUU
rnacentral:rRNA from 1 species